ensembl:misc_RNA Metazoa_SRP Metazoan signal recognition particle RNA
GCCAGAGGUCUGAAAGCAGUCCCAGCUACUUGGCAGGCUGAGGCUGGAGUGUCACUUGAGCCCCAGAGCCCUGGGCUCUAGUGUGCUAUGCCAAUCGGGUGUCUGCACUAAUUUCAGCAUCAGUAUGGUGACCUGCUGGGAAUUGGGGGGCCAUGGGGUUGCCUAAGGAAGGGUGAACCUGCCCACAUUGGAAACUGAGCAGGUCAAAACUCCCAUGCUGAUCAGUAGAGGGAUCGUGCCUGUGAAUAGCCACUGCACUCCAGCCUGGGAAAGAUAUAAAGUGUUU